CUGUGUUCUCUCUGCUCUGCUCCCUCGCACGCUGCUUGCUUAUGCCGAGAGGCAGAAUAUGACGUCAUCAGUAGACAACCUGUGAGGGAGCAGAGCAGAGAGAACACAGUU